UGGCUCAGAUGGUAAAGCAUCUGCCUGCAAUGCAGGAGACCUGGGUUCGAUCCCUG
rfam:TPA: Bos taurus chromosome 17, whole genome shotgun sequence.